AGCCCUGAAGAGAGAGAAGUAUGAAAGGGAGACAGAGAUGGGAGAGAGAGAGAGGGAGAGAAAAUAAAGAAACACAUGAAAGGUAGAGAGAGGAAAGAAAGUGGUAGAGAGCCCUGAAGAGAGAGAAGUAUGAAAGGGAGACAGAGACGGAGAGAGAGAGAGAGAAAAUAAAGAAACACAUGAAAGGUAGAGAGAGGAAAGAAAGUGUGGUAGAGAGCCCUGAAGAGAGAGAAGUAUGAAAGGGAGACAGAGAUGGGAGAGAGAGGGAGAGAAAAUAAAGAAACACAUGAAAGGUAGAGAGAGGAAAGAAAGUGGUAGAGAGCCCUGAAGAGAGAGAAGUAUGAAAGGGAGACAGAGAUGGGAGAGAGAGAGAGAGGGAGAGAAAAUAAAGAAACACAUGAAAGGUAGAGAGAGGAAAGAAAGUGAGGUAGAGAGAAAUAUGAAAGGUACAGAGAAGGUGAGAAAGGUAAAACGAAAGAGGGAGGGAAAGUUAGAGGAGGGGUGUGGGGUGCAUUGGAACAAGGAGGCAUUGUGUAGGCCCCUUCUGGUAAAGACUGACAGUCUGAAUUGCACCAUGCUACAGCAGAGUCGUCAAAGCCAUACUAGUCUGCUUCUGUUCACUCUCCCUUGGCCUGUGGCAACCUCAGGUAAGCUCAGAGACAGGGACGAGAAAAAGCGAAAGAAAGAUGGAAGGAAAAAGGGAGCCCUGCCAAUGAUUGUUUUGGCAACCUCAGGUAGGCUCAGGAAGAGGGAGGGAGAAAUGAUGAUAAGAGAUGGAGCUGAUGUAGUAAGAUGAGAAGAACGGGCAGCGGAGAUGAGAAAGGAGGAAAUAGUGAGGAAAAGAAAGGUCCCACUCCUCAGCCUUAUCCCUCCAUUCAAACAGUAAAACCCUGUGACGCUGUCUCUGUCUGUCGUCUGGGUCUUUCUAUCGGUCUGUGUGUGCAUGCACUACGUGUGUGUCUCCAGUGAGCCAAACAAUAAGAGACUCUUAUAGGCUAGCUGCUAGCUGUUCCAACAGGCCUUUUGUGGGGGGGGGAUCUCCCUGGUUAAGUCCUAUUGAACAUGCCUGUGUAUAGGCUUCCCUCAGCCCCUGUUCUUUAAACCCUCGGAGGUGCCACUCUGCCUCUCCACUUGUUGUUCUCUCCUCUGUGAACAGCCCUUCGGGUAAGCCUGUUUAAACCAGGCAAAGCUCUCCCUUUCAGGGCCCACCCACUCCCCCCUUUUUGAAUGGAAAUUCCUUUUCUCCCUUUCUUCCCGCCUGGGCUUCUGAACCUUCCGAAAAGGUAUGUGGUGUAACUGUUAAUGCAUUAAAUUGAUGAAUGGCGACUGUCAGCAUGUGGGUUUAUCUCCCGUGCCCCUCCCCCCCCUCAUCAACUCUUCCCUCCUACCCAUCUCUGAGUGAAAGUGUCCCCUUGCCCACAAGGGUCAGCGGGACAGGCACGCGCUAGCCAAGAGGUCAGUGGGGAGACCAUUGUUUGUGUUUUGCAACACAAAAACCCCUCCUCCCAAUCCUUAUCC
ensembl:lncRNA